CACCAUCCUCUUUAUUAACAGCCCUUAACAUAUUAGAAGACUGUUAUCAUGUCUCCCCUCAGUCAUCUUUUCUCAAGACUAAACAUGCCCAGGUUUGUUUGGUUUUUAACCUUUCCUCAUAGGUCACGUUUUCUAAAACUUCUAUCAUUUUUGUGGCUCUCCUCUGGACUCUCUCUGAUAUGUCCACAUCUUUCCUAAAGUGUGGUGCCCAGAACUGGACACAGGACUCCAGGCCAAAUCCUUUAGACUUUGCCAAAUCCUGUAAACUUCCACUGACUUCAAAAAGGACUCUCUCCAAUUUGUCCACAGGGUGGUGCCCAGAACUGAACACAGUACUCCAGCUAAGGCCUCACCAGUGCUGACUAGAGGGGGACAAUUACCUCCCAUGUCUUACAUACAACAUUACUAUUAAUCCACCUCCCCCCCAAUAUUAGCCUUGCAAUUGCAUCAUUGCCUCCUAGCCAAUUUGUGAUCCACUAUAUCCACCCAGAUCCUUUUCAGCAGUACUUCUGCCUUGUCAGUUAUUCCACAUUUUAUAUUUGUGCAUUUGAUUUUUCCAUCCUAAGUACGGUAUUUAGCAUUUUGGAGGGGGCCUGGAUCCGGGGUCUGCCACCAGCCAGGGGGUGCCCUAACCAUUGGAAUUCCGACUCAGUUUUGCUCUCUCACCCAAUGACUAUUUAAGUAUUUACCCACACUGAAAUAGUCAUUGGGCCAGAAAGCAAGACUGAUUUGGUUUAACUCUCUUGAUAAGAGGGAAAUCCCAGUUCAAAUAAUUUCUCCCCUUCUCACAGGGAAGUGGAAAUUGAACCUGGGCCUCCCCCAUCCCAGGCAAGUGCUAUGAUCACUGGGCUAAAAGUUAUAAGGUGGGCAGUGCCUUCUCCUCCUCUUCCACCAGCUAGAUUUUGAAUGGUCCCAAUCUGAUAGACCACCUCUGAGCAUGCCUACCAGCCUGGGCCCUGCCCACAAUUUAGGCAGCUGAAUACUUUUCUUCCACUAGUUCAUGAAUCACUCUAGGCCCCAGGCUUAGGCAGGAGAUAGAUGUCGAGGGAGGCAGAAGUACAGGUGCUCGGAAACAUAAGCACCUAGGAAACUUUUACUUUGAAAACCUGGGCACUGGCUGAGUUUAGAUGCCUAUUAGGUUUGGCAGGAGUUUUGUGGAUUGCUGUGGGGCCAAAACUGGGAUUUAGGGUAGAUCUACACUUACAGUAGCAUGUAGAGUAUAGACAUUGGAUAUUCAGCUAGCAUGGGCAUAAAUAGCACUGUGGCUGAUGAUGCACUGGUUAGGAAAAUAGAGUACAGGCACACCAUAACCCGGGGUAUAUACCCUUCAUGUCUCUCUACAUGCCCAAGCAAUACCUCCCCAAUCCACACUGCUGUUUUUAGCAGUGUAACAUCCCUGCUGCAAGUGAAAGACUCCAGCCACCAGGAAAGGCUCUGGGUGGGGGGAGGAAGCGGGGAAAAGCUCUGGCAGAUUCCUGCUACCUCCUGCCUGCCAGAGCCUUUCACUGCGGUGUGUAGCUAAACAUGUAGCAACAUCUUUUGCAGGAUCAGGCUCUAAAUUAAACACUGCAGUGUGGCUGCAGGCUGCUUUUCAUUGCAGAAUGUAGCUACAUGUACCUACAUGCUGCCAAAAGUGUAGACAGGGCCUUAGUUGCUUGACUGUCUUUGUGGAUCUAGGCCCAGAAAUUCAGACCAAAAGUCACCUAAAGUUGGAAAAGAAAACCUGUUAAUGAUGUCUGAGGCACUUCAACAAUUAGCAGAAUUUUGUUCUAGAAUCAAUAUAUGAAACCCUUUGAAAAAACACUGCAAGAGAGAGCCAGAGUCAAGACAAAGGCAAACCAUCACGAUGGAGGUCUCAUAGUAAUAAUGAAUACCAGUCAUUUAUAGCAAAAACCUAUUACUGAGGAAUGACUUUUGUAUUGAACUGAGUGAAUUUGUACAUUUAUGAGUAACUUAGAUACCACAUUAGAAAGGGGGAAAACCCAAGGAAGGGUGCUUUAUUAUGGCUGAUGCGUAAACAGCUUUUUCCAAUUACAUGUACUGUAGGCAGGGGAUCUGAGAUUGGACAGUGACUAUUAGCGUCACAAGUUUUUUGGAUUGCUAAUGAGGUCUUGUCUACACUAGAAAGUUAUGUCAACAGAACAGUGGCACCGUACCAGAGAACGACAAACCCAUUUUGGGAGAAUGCACUCAUACUCUGCCUCUUGGGGCCACACAGCUCAUGUUGCAUCAGCAAAAGCACACUGUAUAGUGAGUAGGCAUACCACUGCCUCCAUGUUGCCUUCAAGUACACUAUUUUUGGGGGAAAUGUUGCUCUGAAUUAUGGGGGAGUCAAAUGUUUCUUUCUUUCUCUGUUAUCUCUAACUCAUCCGAAACAAUACCAGUGUGACUCCCAUCAGUUUUUCUUUUACAAUCCCUUCUUGUCCAUACCUCAGUCAUUUCUCACCUCAAGUGUUACAAUCUUCUCCUCUCUGGCUUCCCAGUUUCCCACCAUGUAUCCUUCCUUCCAGAAUGCUGCAGCACAAGUUAUCUAGCUAUCCCAACCUGUUUACAGGUAUCCUUUCUUAUUUGUUCCAGAUUCUAACUCCUUCUUUAGACUUUCAAUACUCUGUCCCUGCCUACAUCUCAGUCCUCACCGCAUAGUACUCCACCCCCUUCCCAUUAUAGUUCUCUUGAUUCUUUUUCAGAAACUGGCUCUGUGUGAUAGGUCCCCUGCUCCCACAUGGAACCUGUUGUAGGGGAUGCUCUUAGUCUCUUUUACUCACUCAGACCUUUGUUCUCCCCACCCCACCAAUACGCCCAGAAAGCAAACAGCUUCAUCAGUUUCUUUCUACUCCUUCAUCAAAACUCAUUUUCUUUCAUCUAGUUUCCACCACCCUGUUGUCAACUACCACUCACCCCACCUUGCCAAAUAUCUAUUGUGGAAGUCAAAAUUUACAAAUUCAGUAAUGGUAUCACAAUCUUAUGAUAUUUAGUGUUUUUCAUGAAACCCCAGCUCCUAGUCAUGGGAUUGUAAAAAUGUCAGCAUUUAAAAAAAAAGAUGGUUAGCUCUGAUAGUUGUAGAGGAAAAGUAAUAUAAAUCUUAGAUCAAAACCCAUAGCAACCUGCCCCCGUUUAUUCUUUUUAAAAAUCUCACGAUUUUUGCACAUGCCUCAUUCAUGGUUUCUGAAUAUUUGAGAUAGGCAACACUGGAACAUUGGCAAGUGUCUACAAGUAUUUAUGGUUUCUUUUUGUUGCUUGGCUAUUUUUGGCUAAAGGGAGAUUUUCAGGAAUUUGAUAACUGUAGUUAAAAUAUAUAUAAUUACAGCUCCCUAGAGCCAAAGGCAGUUACUCUAUUUUGAGUUAUAUAAAAAUACAAUACACGCAUUUAGUCAAAGGAGCUGUACCAAAAUAACCACUCACAUAUGAGCUUUUCUUCCUUCCUCUUGUUUUGUCAACUCACACCUUUUCUAUUCUCUUCCUUGGUUUGAUGACAUGUUUUGCAGGAUCAGGCUCUAAAUUAAACACUUACUAAAACAUUUCUUACUGGCUAUGGAUAGUCCCAUUAGCUUAUCUGAUUACACACUCUCCUAUGGUCUGUCAUGCACAUACUGUUAGCCUCAAGUUCUGCAGAGAUUUAUUGAUGUGCUUAAUUUUACUCACUGAAGUCAAUGAAACUACUCACAUUAGUAAAAUUAAGCACACACAAGUAGAUUUUUGAAGAAAUUGAGUGAAAAAAGGAGAAUGGUGGGGUACUCUUGGGAUUGGUAAAUAGGAGCAAUGUUAAGGGAAUUUUUUAAGUCUACCAUUCACUUCUGUGAUGAUAGUCUCUAAAUGUAUAGACUUCUCAGAAGAUAAAGGCUAAAGAGCAAUUGAAUAGCUGAAUGAAGACAUACAUCUGAUGUGCAUUAGCAGUUUAAAAAGUAAACUGGAUACUUGGGGCAAGUAAUAAAGCCUUGUAUACACACAAAUUGCAACAAUUUAACUGUAUGUUUCUAAAAAGAUAGUUAAAUUGGUUGCAUCCCCCUGGCAGGGACGUAUUUAUACCAAUAAAAAGGUGUUUACUGAAACACACUCUAUAUAAACAAGUAAUCAGUGUAACUGCAUUCACAAUAGGGGGUUGUAUUGAUUUAGAAAUCAAUAGUUAAAAAUCUGUCUAAACACAAAAUUGGACUAUGUCCACGACACAUGCAAUUAUACAUCUUCAGACUGCUUCACAAACGUUAAUCUCACAACACGCUUGUGAGGUAGUCAAGUAAUAUUAUCUCCAUUGAUGCAAUUGGGAAAAAGACACCCCAGCACACACACUCUUACCAUAAGGAUGAUGGAAAAAUAAUUAGAAUUUUGCUUGCCUAUAAAAAGAAAGUUUCUUGCUCCAGCCAAAUAGAAUUUUGCAAGGCUGAGCUCUAGAAAAAAUGGUUGGGUUGGAUAUUUCCUCUCUAUGUCAUAUUGGUUUGACUUAACUGCAACAGGACAAUUUGAAGAAGAAAAUCCUGUCCAUUAAUAAAGAGAUUUUACAGAAGUCUGGGCAAAAAUUAUUACAUUACCUGUGAAGAUGCAAUUUUGUGAGGCAUAAUUCUCUGCUCUACAGAAUCUGAGUUACGGCUCUGACUGGUAUCUUAUUUUUUUAAAAUUUCUAUGUAACCAAAGUUAUAUCAAAUUCCACAUUUGCCAAAAGUUUCCAUUUAUCCUAUUUACCCCACUACAUCAGGGUUCUUUUUUUUUAAAAAAAAAAAAAAAAGUCUCAGCUGCUUAUUUGCUGUUUUUUUCAGCAGUGGAUGGAUGUUGUCCAGUUCAUUUUUACUUUUCCUCUAUCCAGGUGCAAUUGAGGUUCUUCAAUAAAGCAUUGUCAAGUUAACUUUCCUCAACAGAAGACAAGUUAAUCCAAAAUGAGGAACCAUGUAAAUUGCCUACUCAUUAAUUUCAAUGUUUGGAUUUCUCUAUUCUGCAGAAUAGAGAACAAAUCACAAUUUUUUAAACAGUUCUUAACUAUUAGAAACCUACUAUGGCCUGAAAAUGUUUUUUUUCCCCCCCUCUACCAGAG